UAAAGUAUUGCACCUGGCUGCCAGACUGAUGAGUGAUCCCACAGGAAUGGAGGUGAAAGGGCUUUGUAAACUGGGCGGCCCCGAAACCGAGAUUGCAGGCUCUUUGGGCGUAGGAACUGUCUCCUCCAUGUGACUGUGGGUUUUCUGAGGGUGUCUCCCCCAACAGAUCAGGAGCAUUCCGGACGGUAGAAGGAAGAACGGAAAUGCAAGUCAGACUGAAGAUUUUAACCAAUGUCCUGUGUGGUGUGGGAAGGGGACCCUGACACUGCUGUGGAAGAGGCCAAUCUCUAAACCAUUGAGGCCACAAAGUCUGACAAAUCUUCCUCUUAAAUGGAUGCAUAUGGGCCCAGCUGAACCUGUCCACUCUUCUUUCACGUCCUUUCCAGCCCACAGUGCCCACCCAUCGAGCUCAGAAGGCCUGAUCUCCGGGGUCCUUCCCUGGCCCACCUUCCUGAACACAGAGGCCCUCUCAGGGGACGCCAGACGUGCCACAACAGAGCAGGUGAUUGUUAGCUGGUCAUGGGGGCUGCGUGGGUUUGAACCCAGGCUCACCAUCUAUGGAGAUCUUGCCUAAGUCACCUCUCUGUGCCCAUUUCCUCGCCUAUAAAAUGGGGAUGUAAUACCCAUCUCACAGGGCUAUUGCAAGAUCAAAUGAGUCCAUUCACAUAUUAUUGAGCAUAAAGUGUGUAGAACAGGGUCUGGCAGACUGGCGACAUGAGCUGCUAGCCACGGUCCCCCCACUCCUCUCCCCUGUCCUCAUUCCAACCUGUUAACUGUCACCUCCUCCAAGAAGCCCGCCCUGACCACAUCUUAAGUAGCCUGCCCCUUCUCCACCUCCCCACCUCUUUCAUUUUUUUGUCCCUUCCAGACCACCCCAGUUCUCCCCUUGACCCUCAGGCUGUCCUCAGUCCUCCCAGACUGCCCCCCCAUCUUGCCCACAGCCCCUCUCCCCACCCCCCAAUAGCACACAUCAGACUGGCU